GACGAACGCUGGCGGCGUGCCUAAUACAUGCAAGUUGAGCGCUGAAGGUUGGUACUUGUCCCGACUGGAUGAGCAGCGAACGGGUGAGUAACGCGUGGGGAAUCUGCCUUUGAGCGGGGGACAACAUUUGGAAACGAAUGCUAAUACCGCAUAAAACCUUUAAACACAAGUUUUAAGUUUGAAAGAUGCAAUUGCAUCACUCAAAGAUGAUCCCGCGUUGUAUUAGCUAGUUGGUGAGGUAAAGGCUCACCAAGGCGAUGAUACAUAGCCGACCUGAGAGGGUGAUCGGCCACAUUGGGACUGAGACACGGCCCAAACUCCUACGGGAGGCAGCAGUAGGGAAUCUUCGGCAAUGGACGAAAGUCUGACCGAGCAACGCCGCGUGAGUGAAGAAGGGUUUCGGAUCGUAAAACUCUGUUGGUAGAGAAGAACGUUGGUGAGAGUGGAAAGCUCAUCAAGUGACGGUAACUACCCAGAAAGGGACGGCUAACUACGUG
rnacentral:rRNA from 1 species